rnacentral:rRNA from 1 species
AUUGAACGCUGGCGGCAGGCCUAACACAUGCAAGUCGAGCGAGCGGCGGACGGGUGAGUAAUGUCUGGGAAACUGCCUGAUGGAGGGGGAUAACUACUGGAAACGGUAGCUAAUACCGCAUACCAUCAGAGGUGCCCAGAUGGGAUUAGCUAGUAGGUGGGGUAACGGCUCACCUAGGCGACGAUCCCUAGCUGGUCUGAGCGGAUUACAAGCCACACUGGAACUGGGCAACGGUCCGGACUCCUACGGGAGGCAGCAGUGGGUAAUAUGGCACAAUGGGCGCAAGCCUGAGGCAGCCAGGCCGCGUGUGUGAAGAAGGCCUUCGGGUUGGAAAGCACUUUCAGCGGGGAGGCGUUACCCGCAGAAGAAGCACCGGCUAACUCCGUGCCAGCAGCCGCGGUAAUUC